rnacentral:rRNA from 1 species
UACGGAGGGUGCAAGCAUUAAUCGGAUUUAUUGGGCGUAAAGGGCGCGUAGGCGGAAAUAUAAGUCAGGUGUGAAAUCCCGGGGCUCAACCCCCGGAACGGCAUUUGAAACUAUAUUCCUUGAGGGUAGGCGGAAGAAAACGGAAUUCCACAUGUAGCGGUGAAAUGCGUAGAUAUGUGGCAGAACAUCGGUGGCGAAGGCGGUUUUCUAGCUUAUUCCUGACGCUGAGGCGCGAAAGUAAGGGGAUCAAACAGG